AAAUAAGGAAUGAGGGGAGGAAUCUGCUGGUGCUCUUCUGCGGAGUCAUCUUGUUUUGCUUGUCUUUUUUGGCUAUCCCUCUAAUACUGUCUUUCCCCUCGUAUAAUUGCUGUGAUGACAACAAAAGUAGCUGGAAUUGGUUUUGCUGUGGUGAACGAGAACGUGACGAACCAAAUACCACCGCCGUUAACAAGGCAAUUGCGGUCGACGACGAAAGUGCUUCUGCAGCUCACAGUAUAAACAGGCACGGAGAGGAACGUGCAAGCGACACCGAUCUUCGCAGUUCCACAAUGCCUUGGAAGUUUGCCUUAAAAAAACGCGCC
rnacentral:sRNA from 1 species